rnacentral:rRNA from 1 species
UAGUCCACGCCCUAAACGAUGAAUGUUAGUCGUCGGGUAGCUAGUCUAUUCGGUGAUGCAGCUAACGCAUUAAACAUUCCGCCUGGGGAGUACGGUCGCAAGAUUAAAACUCAAAGGAAUAGACGGGGACCCGCACAAGUGGUGGAGCAUGUGGUUUAAUUCGAAGAUACGCGAAGAACCUUACCUAGCCUUGACAUAUUUAAGAACACUUUAGAGAUAGAGUGGUGCCUUCGGGAGCUUUUAUACAGGUGCUGCACGGCUGUCGUCAGCUCGUGUCGUGAGAUGUUGGGUUAAGUCCCGCAACGAGCGCAACCCUCGUCACUAGUUACUAACGGUUCGGCCGAGGACUCUAGUGAGACUGCCUUCGCAAGGAGGAGGAAGGUGAGGACGACGUCAAGUCAUCAUGGCCCUUACGGCUAGGGCAACGCACGUGCUACAAUGGGGCAUACAAAGAGCAGCGAUACCGCGAGGUGGAGCAAAUCUCAAAAAUGACCUCCCAGUUCGGAUAGCA